GAAUUUAGGGAGAGGGGCACCUGGCUGGCUCAGCUGGAAGAGCAGUGGCUUUUUUUUUUUUUUUUUUUUUGAUGGGGGUUAACAUCUUUAUUGCUCUGGGUACAGGGGCAAGUGCUCAGGAGAGCAGUGGCUUUUGAUCUUGGGGUUGUGAGUUCCAGCCCCAUGUGGUGUGGAGGUUACUUAAAAAUAAAUUUUUUUAAGAGAAUUUUGGGAGCACUUGUAUCUUCUUUUCUUCACUUUGGGUAUUCUUAUUUAUCCUUGAAGGUUCAGUUCAAAAUAUCUCCUCUAGGAAGACUUUUCUAAUUCCUCCAAGCUGGAUUAAUGCUCCUCCAUGUUGGUCCCACAAGGUCACACCUCUUCUCUCAGCACAAAAUACUUAGGGUGGAUCAGUCAGUUAUUACACUAGGCUGCAUGCUCUAAGAACAGGCUCUUACCAGGGUGAAUAUCUAUACUCUACUUGGAUAUGACAGCAAAAAUCUGAGGAGAUACCCAGUGGGGUCACUUUGCUGACUAACAGGCUUCUACAUCUGUGUGAAGGCAAGCUGAGGGAGUGUCAUCAGGCUGGCCCCCAACUCCCUUUGCGAAAAUCUGCUUUAUCUCACAAAGGAAUGAGCACUUCUGCUUGAGAGACUUCAAUUGCAUCCUUUACUUACUAUAGGUUUUUCUCUCCUUUUUCUAUAGCAAGAUGGACAAGCAGCCAGCAUAAUAAAGAGGUCACACGUAAACAAGUCUAAAGAAUAUAGACAACUAUAAAUUCUCUCUACAUGAAGUUCAAGCUUGAUUUUCCACACCAUUGACAUGAGGCAAUGUUAAGAGGCUACUAGAAACAGGCUUGGGAAUAGUUGAUGCCGGAUCUUGAGAGGAAACCUUUGAACACUCCACUUCUUACUUGUCAGCUUCAACCAGUCUCUCUAGAUAUUGAUGUAGUAAGGAGCAGCAGCUCACAGCUUCACUGGCAUUGAUGGGCGUGGUGGCUUCAUGUCCAGGCUGGAUUGCAAGCUCCGCGCUGCUGGGCCGUUUAUCUCUGCCACCACAACAGCCCGGGCCGCAAACAGGCGAGCCGUUCUCUGCCCGGCUCCUGGGCUCCCGCCGGGAGGGCACAAUUAAGACAGACCCUUGCCUUCUUGGCUGCCAAAGCAUUUCAGCUUCUGAAGAGCAUGGGAAGCAACGCCAUCAACCCCCCUGAGGAAAUAAAUAAAUAAAUUAAUUAAUUAAAUAAAUGCA
rnacentral:lncRNA from 1 species